rnacentral:tRNA from 1 species
GCGCAGGUGGCGGAAUAGGUAGACGCACCGGUUUCAAAAACCGGUGGGAGAAAUCCCGUGCGGGUUCGAGCCCCGCCUUGCGCA